UUUUUUUCAGUCCUGGUUUAGGUGUCCCUUGGCAGCUCGGGUACUCUGUCUCCAUCUCCUGGCCAGAAACAUGUUCAGCCCCAGCGAGCAGCAUUCUAAGUAGCCCAACUACAGCAGCAGGGGGAGAAAACCCUGCUGACGCUUCAGGAAGUGCAGGGAAGAAUGAAUGAAUUGCAAGUGAAGAGCCUCUGGAGUUCCUGCCAAGCAGCAGGAGCACUGUUCCACCUAUUAACCCUGGGAUUCUAUGAAAGCUGAAAUACCUCCUUGCAUGAGAAAGGGCUGGAAAUACAAACCUGAUUCAUAGGGGUAACAUUCA